UUUGUGUGACACUAGCAAGCCAGUUUUAUUACACAAUCAUCACACUUUCUGUUAGCGAGCCAUUUCCAAAGUGAAUCCAUGUUUUAAAAAAUGAUUCUCCAGUUUGAACAUAGGGAAUAUGAAACAAAGAGGGUGCUCAGUUCUUUCUGAGGAUGUUGAGCAUAAGUGGUGUGUGUGUGUGUGUGUGUGUGUGUGUGAAAAGGGGGUAUGUGUGGGAAUGUGGUCUGGUAUGUGCGUGUGGUGUCUGUAAGGUGUGUAGUGUGUGUAUGUGUGUGGUGUGUAGUGUGAGUAGCAUGUGGUGUGUGGGGGUGGUGUGUGGUGUGUGUGUGGUAUUUGUAUGGUGUGUGUGGUGUAUGUGUGGGGUGUGUGUGUGGUACCUCUAUCGUGUGUGUAUGGUAUGUACGUGUGUGUGGUAUGUACGUGUGUGUGGUGUGUGUGGUGUGAGUGGUGCAUGUGGUAUGUAUGUGUGUGUGGCAUGAGUGUGUGUGGUGUGUGUGGUAUGUAUGUGUGUGGUAUGUGUGUGUGUGUGGUGUAUAUGUGAUGUGCGUGUGGUAUGUAUGUGUGGCAUGAGUGCGUAUGGCAUGUGUGUAUGGUGUGUGUGGUAUGAGUGUGUGUGGUGUGUGGUGUGUGCUGUGUGUGUGAUGUGUUGUGGUGUGUGUGUGGUAUGUGUGUGUGGUGCAUGUGGUAUGUAUGUGUGUGGUGUAUGUGGUGUGUGUGGGGUAUGUAUGUGUGUGUGCUGUGAGCGUGUGUGUGGUGUGUGUGAUAUGUAUGUGAGUGUGGUGUGUGUGUGAUAUGUGGUGUGUGGUAUGUAUGUGUGUGUGGUGUGUGAGCGUAUGUGGUGUGUGUGGGGUGCGUGUGGUAUGUGUGUGUGUGUGGUGUGUGUGGUAUGUGUGGUGUGUGUGGUAUGUAUGUGUGGUGUAUGUGUGUGAGGUGUGUGGGGUGCAUGUGUGUGUGUGGUGUGUAUGUGGUGUGAGUGU
rnacentral:lncRNA from 1 species